rnacentral:rRNA from 1 species
GACAGAGGGUGCAAACGUUGUUCGGAAUUACUGGGCGUAAAGCGUGUGUAGGCGGCCAUAUAAGUCGGAUGUGAAAGCCCUGGGCUCAACCCAGGAAGUGCACUCGAUACUGUAUGGCUUGAGUACUGGAGAGGUUGGUGGAAUUCUCGGUGUAGAGGUGAAAUUCGUAGAUAUCGAGAGGAACACCGGUGGCGAAGGCGGCCAACUGGACAGAUACUGACGCUGAGACACGAAAGCGUGGGGGAGCAAACAGG